rnacentral:rRNA from 1 species
UACGGGGGGAGCAAGCGUUGUUCGGAUUUACUGGGCGUAAAGGGCGCGUAGGCGGCGCAACAAGUCACUUGUGAAAUCUCCGGGCUUAACCCGGAGCGGUCAAGUGAUACUGUCGUGCUAGAGUGCAGAAGGGGGCAACUGGAAUUCUCGGUGUAGCGGUGAAAUGCGUAGAUAUCAGGAGGAACACCGGUGGCGAAGGCGGAUCUCUGGGCCUUACCUGACGCUGGAGGCGCGAAAGCCGUGGGGAGCAAACAGG